AGGAGACAGAUGCCUCUUGCCUGUCAGGCCCUGUGACCGACCUGGGUAGUGCCCUGCCUCCAGAGGAGACCAAGUCCGGAGAGGAGCUGCCAAGCUUGCCAGCGGCCAAAUAACUAGAGGAGACCAAAGCUGAAGAGCAGCUGCUCAGAUUGCUGGUGGCUGAAUACCCCGAGGAGAUGGAGGACUCCAUGACUCUGGAGUCCCUUCCCUGAUCAUGCUCAAAAAACGUGACACGGAGUACUAAAGAGCCCCAGUUAUACGGUGAACCUGCUUAAAUGAACAGACGCAUCACUGAAUAGCUUUCACUGCAGCGGCUCCAGCCUCCCUGCUGAUUGGGCCGACAGCUCGAUCCUCAAGAAGGUCAAGUAAAAUGGAACUCAAGUCAUUAUGUGCCAUUGAAGCAAUUACACGCUGCUGACUCAGGGGCAUUGAUAAUCAGCAGUCUGGGUGCUGAUAGCGGUUGGUGGUGGCUGAGGGAAAGAUGGAGGGAGUUGCAACUCCAAUUUGUUCCAGUCUUAGCCUGUUUCAAUAAGUGCCUCUCUAAUGCUGUUAUAUGAGGAUGAAAUAUGCCUCAUAAUGGUUUGCAGGUGAUACAAAGCAGAGAUGGAUUUCCACAGGAGUGUGGGGAAAAUAAUCUCAAAAUCUAGAUAACCACAUAUUAAUGCGGUACUGAAAACAGACAAUACUGUGAGGCAAAGCUCCUGGGACUGAGGGAGAUGUGAGGUGUUCUCCUUAAAGAGGAGAGAGCAGAUGUAUGCACACACCAAUUCGGGGGACAGGAAACCAGAGCCCGUUACAGCUAGAAAAGUUUGAAUAAAGCAAACUGUAUUUAAAUUAAAAAAGCAAUAACUUACCAGCUCCCUGUGGAGUUUCCCCUUCUCUCUUCCUAUCGCCUAGGUCCUUGUGUGACUUUGCUGAAAUUUCUCAGUGGUUAUGUUUUCCCUCAGACUCAUUUUCUCUACUUAUCAACCUUAUGAAAAAAUAUUUUUGUCUGUAAAAAUCCUACUUAUCUCCCACACACCCUCCCACACCAUCUCAGUCUCUCUCUCACACACCUCCCCCCCCUCCUUUGUUAAUCUCUCCUUUCUCUGUCCUCAGCUCCAUUUUUACCACCUUUGUCUCUCUUUUCAUUUUCCCAAGCAAUGGCCUAUGCUCUCCUCCAACUCCCCCCACUUUCCUCUAUCCCCUCAGCUCACCCCGUGCUCCCUUCUCUCAGCUCCUUCCUACCUCUCUCCCCUCUGCACUCCCCGUGCUCCCUCAAUGCCCCCAGGCUUCCCUUCCAGCCCCUGGUGCUCCCCCUCCAUCCCCCAACCCCCGCACUGCUCCCAGAGCAGUUAUGAGACCGACGCUGUCACUGGCACUAAGAGGAGUUGAUCCCCUGCUGCCUGUUCGGAACCUGGCUCGCUGCCAUCUUUUAAUCAUGAGCCUGGCUGCUCUGCCAUGCAGGGGAGGGAGAUGGCUGAACCCCCUGGCCCCAGUGCAUGGGGCUGGUCACAGCCCUGGAACCGCAGGGCUGAGAGGAGGGCUUCGCACAAGUGGGAGAGGGGUGGGCAGAGCUCUGGCUCCACUGGCCUGCACACUGGAGCCCGGUGAGAAAGGGCAGUAAUCUGUGACAAUAAGAGGGCAGACUGUGAUUCUGAGUGUGACACUCGAGUUCCUGCACUGCCCCUUGGGUGUGCUGGAUCUUAGGGCUACAAUCCAGCCCCUCCACAACUGCUAGAUUGAUCUGAGCAGCAUCUGCUGACUAUGCCAGCUCCUAAAGGGCUGUCCAGAUCCCUAGACCUCCCACUGGAACGUCCUUGCAUUCACAUUAGAGAUACCUCUCCCCCUUGGGUUUAUGGACAUACACAGCUCAUAGCAAGGAUUUACCUUCCCGUCCUCUGAGCACAAUUGCAGGUGCAGAAAACUCACUGAAAAUCAGGCAUUAAGCAACUGAGCCAUGAGUGUCAGCUUCAGAGGAGGAGAAAGAACGGGCCGUGCUCCUGGAGCUAAUAACAUAUGUAUCAGACACCUUUCUCUUGAGAUGGCAGAUUCUGGGAGCCCCACAUGAAUCUUUCAACAAGAUUGAAGAGAUGCUAUUAAUUGCUAUCGAUCAUGGGUCAAGAAAUUAAAUUGCAUCUGCAACUAUAUCUCUGAAAGGCCUAAGAGUAGUUAAUGGGUCUGCCUGGCCCAGUGCUGUGAUUAAUUAAAAGGGGAAGAGAAACACAAAAUAUUAAAAUAAAUAAAUGCAUUGAGAUGUGUGUGCUUAUCUUGGAAAUACACAA